rnacentral:rRNA from 1 species
AUUGAACGCUGGCGGCAGGCUUAACACAUGCAAGUCGAGCGGAGAUGAGGUGCUUGCACCUUAUCUUAGCGGCGGACGGGUGAGUAAUGCUUAGGAAUCUGCCUAUUAGUGGGGGACAACAUUCCGAAAGGAAUGCUAAUACCGCAUACGCCCUACGGGGGAAAGCAGGGGAUCUUCGGACCUUGCGCUAAUAGAUGAGCCUAAGUCGGAUUAGCUAGUUGGUGGGGUAAAGGCCUACCAAGGCGACGAUCUGUAGCGGGUCUGAGAGGAUGAUCCGCCACACUGGGACUGAGACACGGCCCAGACUCCUACGGGAGGCAGCAGUGGGGAAUAUUGGACAAUGGGCGGAAGCCUGAUCCAGCCAUGCCGCGUGUGUGAAGAAGGCCUUUUGGUUGUAAAGCACUUUAAGCGAGGAGGAGGCUACCUGGAUUAAUACUCUAGGAUAGUGGACGUUACUCGCAGAAUAAGCACCGGCUAACUCUGUGCCAGCCGCCGCAGUA